GGAAGCGGUGGUAGUGAUGGCAGCAGCUUUGACUCCGUAGCCGCGUGUCUCGGUGGUGGGAUGAGAGAGAGAGAGAGAGCGUGAGUGAGAGACAACAGCGAGGACUGACUGGAGGGGGGAGGAGGAGUCUGUCCCAGCCUGCAUCUGGCCCGCUCCCCUCUCUGUCACCCCGGGCCAAACCCGCCCAGCUCCUCUCACUCACUCUCCGCCUGUUUUCCCGCACGGCUCGGCCCGGACACACACACACAGAGCACCCACUCACACACGGCGCGAGGACACGGAAUGGAGACGGAAGGGAGCCAGAGCAGCCUGUCCACCGCGGACUCCCUGCAUGACCCCUGCAAAAUGUUCAUAGGUGGACUCAGCUGGCAAACAACACAAGAGGGUCUGAAGGAGUACUUCUGCAAGUACGGCGAGGUGAAGGAGUGUAUGGUGAUGCGAGAUCCAGUUACUAAGCGCUCGAGAGGGUUCGGAUUCGUCACCUUUGUCGAUCAGGCUGGCGUGGAUAAAGUUUUGGCUCAAACCAGGCACGAGUUGGACUCCAAAACAAUCGAUCCAAAGGUCGCAUUUCCUCGCAGAGCCCAGCCCAAGUUGGUCACUCGAACCAAGAAAAUCUUUGUGGGAGGCCUGUCGGUGAACACGACUAUCGAGGACGUCAAGCAGUACUUCGACCAGUUUGGGAAGGUCGACGAUGCCAUGCUCAUGUUCGACAAGACCACCAACAGACACAGAGGAUUCGGCUUUGUAACAUUUGAGAAUGAAGACGUGGUGGAGAAAGUGUGCGAGAUCCACUUCCACGAGAUCAACAACAAAAUGGUGGAGUGCAAGAAAGCGCAGCCCAAGGAGGUGAUGUCCCCCACCGGCUCGGCCAGGGGGCGCUCUCGGGUGAUGCCGUAUGGGAUGGACGCCUUCAUGCUGGGCAUCGGUAUGCUGGGUUAUCCAGGCUUUCAGACUGCCACCUACACCAGUCGGAGCUAUGCUGGCAUCACUCCUGGAUACACCUACCAGUUUCCUGAGUUCCACUUAGAGAGGACUCCCCUUCUGACUUCACCCCACCCCCCUGAGCUCACAGGUCAGUCAGUCCCUCCUCUGGACUUUACAAGCAGCACGUUCCAUUCCUCUCACAGCAUAUGGACCAAUGGCGGCGGCGGCAGCAGCGGCAGUAGUCAGAGGCUCCACCCCGUCUCGUUCUGCUGGAUUUUUAGGUACAAGCAGCCCAGGUCCGAUGGCAGACCUUUAUGGAACAGCCAGUCAGGAAUCGGCCGUCAGCAGUUACCUCAGCGCUGCCAGCCCUGCACCAAGCACUGGAUUCAGCCAUAGUCUGGGGGGCCCUUUGAUUGCCACGGCCUUCACUAACGGCUAUCACUGAGAGUUGCAGAGCUGUAGACUGAGAGCUGGAAGGAGUUGAAGCUGCUUUGGAGCUGAUCUGGCCUGUCUCUGUCCAGUCCACGUCUCCGGCUGGGGUGGCCUAACCUGUAGCCAACCCGCCCUGGUGUCAGCUACAUCCAGUUGACCCUACUGACACCACACUAAACUCCACCACAAUUUUAUUUUAUUUUUUUUUUUGGGGGGGGGGGGGGACUUAAAAGAAAAAAAAACCUUCUCAAAAGGAGCAAAAACGUUUAUCACUACAUGUAAUAGCAACACAUUCAGAUGCUGUAUUUCUUUGUUUUUUUCCUCUGAUAUGUUUUUGUGAUGGCUGUGUUAUUUCAUGAUCUGUUUUGGCUGUGAUUCAUUGGUUUCUUUGACCUCUUUAAUCUGAUCUCUCUGAGAUGGGAGGAGUUUAAUCUCCAGGUGAUGGCUGUUUGAAGGUCAGGAGAUGUAAAAUGUACUGGAAAGCUGUAUAUUUGUCACUAGUUCAUACUGAAUUUUAACAUUGGGGAUUAAUACUUUUUCUCAAAUGUGUCACAAAGUGUAUAUCUUGGUAGGUUUUUUUUUUUUUUUUUAACAAUGACUCGUUACUAAUAAUGGUCAGACGACAAAGGUCAUUAGUCACUGUUACGUAAUAGCCUUCAUGAGGUGUACAAUUUUGUAAAAUUUUGUAAAUACGGCUGGUUAGCAGGUGAGAGGGUUCUGCAAAAUUUGCGUCAGGGAGGCGGGGGCGUUUUGGAGAAAUGGUACGAUCUCUUUUAUCAAUCUUGACUGAUAGUUUCACAUGAAGGUCGAGAACAUUUCAGUUUGUCUGUCUGUUACUGUAUUUCUCUCCAGGCGUUUAUAAAUGAUGCGUCACGUGAGUCUUACGACAUUGAGGAGCUGCCUCAGAGUUUUACUUUGAGUUGAGCGGGCGAGGGGCUGCGUACUGAGCGACACUUGCUACUGUUUGGAGACGAAGGGUGUGGAAGCGCUCCUGUCGGGAGAGGAAAAACACGACUUCUUACUUUAUCAUAUUGUUGUUUUAACUGUGAUUUUUAAAUACGUGAUGAUUGUGAAGGCAAAUGAAGGACUGUUACAAUGGAGCAGUCGUGCACAGUUUGCGUUCUGACUGAUUUCCUCUGCAAGAUGAGUUGAUGUUUGCGUGUCAUUUGGUCUUAUUCACAUUGGUUUCCAAUGUGCCACGUUUUGUUUUGUUUUGUUUUGUUUUGUUUUGUUUUUUUUGGGGGGGGGGGUACCUCUGCUGCAAAUGUGAAAUUUUAAUCUGACCCUUUUUUUAAUUAUUAUUAUUAUUAUUACAUUAACAUUGAUAUAAAAGUGUGGGUGGUUGAACCUUUUAGAAAGGUGGGGUCUUAUUAACUCUUGUUUACCUGUCAUACCCACCCCACAGCCAUCCAUCGCUGCAUAUCCACUGGAGGUCACAGACUGUAGCAAUGUGACUGCUUUUUUUGUUUGUGUUUUUUUUUGUUUGUUUGUUUUUUAGACCAAAACACUUAUUUUCAGAGCUACUAGGAUUUUGCACUGGCCGGUCACGAUAAAAUAAAAAAGCACUCCCCAUCUACAAAAUACCAGGUUUUUAAACAUUUUGAUACACUCGCUCUGUCUGCUGCGGGCUACCACGAUAUUUCAAACUCUGAUGCUGAUUUCACUGCAUUAUAACAAUCUUGUCAACACUGUAACAUUUUCUGAUUUUCAUUUUUCUCAUGUUUAUUCCUUUGGAGGAAAGCAAAACUUUUUAACUUUUAUUCCUAAUAAAUUAUUUUAAAACAUUCCA